UUUUUGUGUUUUUUUCAUUUAAAAUAUUUUUUACUUAGUCUAAUUAUAUGACACCUUAAAUCUCUUCAAACAUGACAGAUAGCUUGGGAGAUCCCGUCCUUACAUGAUUUCUAGUCUCAAGUUGCCUCAAUACUCAGGUUCUUUUCAAUGUUGUGACUAUGGCUAAAUCUUGAUGGAUUUUGGUGAGCAAUAAGCCUUUAUUUCUGGAGGAAUAGAGAACUCAUAUAAGAACGAGAGUGAAAUGACUAGACUGUUUUAAACUGUUAAUAUUAGCAUGGCUGUAAGCAUUAACUUAAUUUUUUAUUUAAGAGGGAAUGAUUAUGAAUUAAGACCAUAAUAUUUGGUGUGUUUUGGAAUUGAAUUAACUGAUCCAUUUGAUAGCUGAUUCUGCGUGUUAGUUAAUUUGUCAUUAUGCAAGUGUUACAUUCGUCUACCGUUUAUAAACUGCUAGCUUUUUAAGUUGAUGAA